rnacentral:rRNA from 1 species
AACGAACGCUGGCGGCAGGCUUAACACAUGCAAGUCGAGCGCCCCGCAAGGGGAGCGGCAGACGGGUGAGUAACGCGUGGGAACGUACCCUUUACUACGGAAUAGCUCUGGGAAACUGGAAUUAAUACCGUAUGUGCCCUUCGGGGGUAAGAUUUAUCGGUAAAGGAUCGGCCCGCGUUGGAUUAGCUAGUUGGUGGGGUAAAGGCCUACCAAGGCGACGAUCAAUAGCUGGUCUGAAAGGAUGAUCAGCCACAUUGGGACUGAAAAACGGCCCAAACUCCUACGGGAGGCAGCAGGGGGAAAUAUUGGACAAUGGGCGCAAGCCUGAUCCAGCCAUGCCGCGUGAGUGAUGAAGGCCUUAGGGUGGUAAAGCUCUUUCACAGAUGAAGAUAAUGACGGUAGUCGGAGAAGAAGCCCCGGCUAACUUCGUGCCAGCCCCGCCGUAA